rnacentral:lncRNA from 1 species
GUGAUUGCUAAGUUUGAUAUGGUAAAUGUGUUUCUGAAUUACAAAAGUUGAUGCUAACUUAGUCUUCAAUAUUCAGGCCGUAAUUUGUGGUUUUACUCCUCGUUCACUGAAAAUUUCUUGGAACUUUGAUGAACUUGGCAGAUAGUCCUACAAGCGUGAGCACCAGCCAAAAAUGGAGAGAAUAUAAUGUUACACACUAGAAUGCUAACUUUAUAUGCACCCUUAAUUCGUGAUGGGAGAAUAAAUAAAAUUCAUGAUGGGAGAAUAAAUAAAUUCUAUCUGUAUGUUCUCUUAUCUGGAGCAGUUUUGUAUAAUGAUCUAGACCAUCUAAACUUCUGAAGAGGAGUAUUUUAAUUUCCCUUUAGCCUUGUGUAUAAUUUAGUGUUUGCUUGUCUUCUUGGCAUUGCGUGAUAGACUGAAGAUAGGUGCGUGAUUUUGUCAGGCAUUUUUUAUUUUAUUAUUCCUUUAAUCGAUCUCUACAAUUUUGUUUUUCUUGCUUGUUUGUCGAUUAAGGCAGGUAUACGCCCACGCUAACUAUAAGUAUCUCAUUUUUUAUGGACUUGUUACCAAGGUUACAUGACAAAUGAUGGGCAUUUGUAGAUCAGCUGUCUUUCUCAACUUUACUACGUAGCAUUUGUUAAAACCAAAUAUAUAUUCCCAAAUAAAGUACCAUAAUUUUUAUAUAGACUUUAUUGUUAGUGGGGUAGGUUUGUUUUUUAGUUUUAUAAUUUAUUUUAGUUUUGUAAUUUUUUUGUAAAUGUCACCUUAGCGUUAGCCACGGACAAUAUACUAGUAUGCAUAAUAAGUAUUACCACAUACUCUAUGUAUGCAUGCAUUCUUAACAUACAUAUCAUCCUAGAUUGUCUAUUAUGAUCAUAUACUUCGUCUAUAUAUACAUUUCGUGUGGUCAUAUACACCCUAAAUCUAAAGAUAUAGACAUAGGUGUAACUACAGC